GGUCUGAUCCUGGCUCAGAUUGAACGCUGGCGGGAUGCUUCUUUACAUGCAAGUCGAACGCACGGACUUCGGUCUGGUGGCGAGUGGCGAACGGGUGAGUAAUGUAUCGGAACGUGCCUAGUAGCGGGGGAUAACUAUGCGAAAGCGUAGCUAAUAUCGCAUAUUGGCCCUUCGGGGGAAAGCGGGGACCAGCCUCGCACUAAUAGAGCGGCCGAUAUCGGAUUAGCUAGUUGGUGGGGUAACGGCUCACCAAGGCGACGAUCCGUAGCUGGUUUGAGAGGACGACCAGCCACACUGGGACUGAGACACGGCCCAGACUCGCAUGGAGGCAGCAGUGGGGAAUUUUGGAUAAUGAAGAAACCGAUCCAGCCAACCGGCGCGAUGAAGGCCUUCGUCAGGUACACUUUAUAGAGAACGGCACGGGAUAAUACCCUGUGCAACUGACGGUACCUGCAGAAUAAGCACCGCUAACUACGUGCCAGCAGCCGCGGUAAUACGUAGGGUGCAAGCGUUAAUCGGAAUUACCGGGCGUAAAGCGUGUGCGGCAGGCGGUUCGGAAAGAAAGAUGUGAAAUCCCAGAGCUUAACUUUGGAACUGCAUUUUUUAACUACUGAGCUAGAGUGUGUCAGAGGGAGGUGGAAUUCCGCGUGUAGCAGUGAAAUGCGUAGAGAUAUGGAGGAACACCCGGAUGGCGAAGGCAGCCUCCUGGGAUAACACUGACGCUCGGCGCACGAGCGUGGGGAUCAAACAGGAUUAGAUACCCCGGUAGUCCACGCCCUAAACGAUGUCAACUAGCUGUUGGGGCCUUCGGGCUCAGCGCAGCUAACGCGGUGAAGUUGACCCGCCUGGGGAGUACGGUCGCAAGAUUAAAACUCAAAGGAAUUGACGGGGAUCUGCACAAGCGGUGGAUGAUGUGGAUUAAUCUGAUGCAACGCGAACUCGUCUACUCCUUGACAUGUCUGGAAUCCCGAAGAGAUUUGGGGAGUGCCUGCAAGAGAACCGGAACAUGGGUGCUGCAUGGCUGUCGUCAGCUCGUGUCGUGAGAUGUUGGGUUAAGUCCUGCAACGAGCGCAACCUUGUCAUUAGUUGCUACGAAAGGGCACCUUAAUGAGACUGCCGGUGACAAAACUGAGGAAGGUGGGGAUGACGUCAAGUCCUCAUGGCCCUUACAAAAGGGGCUUCACACGUCAUACAAUGGUCGGGACAGAGGGUCACAACCCGGCGAGGGGGCGUAGCCAAUCCCAGAAACCCGAUCGUAGUCCGGAUCGCAGUCUGCAACUCGACUGUGUGAAGUCGGAAUCGCUAGUAAUCGCGGGAUCAGCAUGUCGCGGUGAAUACGUUCCCGGGUCUUGUACACACCGCCCGUCACACCAUGGGAGUGGGCUUACCAGAAGUAGUUAGCCUAACCGUAAGGAGGGCGAUUACCACGGUAGGAUUCAUGACUGGGGUGAAGUCGUAACAAGGUAG
rnacentral:rRNA from 1 species